AACGAACGCUGGCGGCAUGCCUAACACAUGCAAGUCGAACGAGACCUUCGGGUCUAGUGGCGCACGGGUGCGUAACGCGUGGGAAUCUGCCCUUGGGUUCGGGAUAACAGUUGGAAACGACUGCUAAUACCGGAUGAUGACUUCGGUCCAAAGAUUUAUCGCCCAGGGAUGAGCCCGCGUCGGAUUAGCUUGUUGGUGAG
rnacentral:rRNA from 1 species